rnacentral:rRNA from 1 species
UACGUAGGGUGCGAGCGUUGUCCGGAAUUACUGGGCGUAAAGAGCUCGUAGGCGGUCUGUCGCGUCGGAUGUGAAAACCCAGGGCUCAACCCUGGGCCUGCAUUCGAUACGGGCAGACUAGAGUUCGGUAGGGGAGACUGGAAUUCCUGGUGUAGCGGUGAAAUGCGCAGAUAUCGGGAGGAACACCAGUGGCGAAGGCGGCCUUCUGGCUCGUAACUGACGCUGUAGCGCGAAAGCGUGGGGAGCGAACGGG